GACGAACGCUGGCGGCGUGCUUAACACAUGCAAGUCGAACGAAGUGGCGAACGGGUGAGUAACGCGUAAUCCACCUGCCCUUCAGAGGGGGACAACAGUUGGAAACGACUGCUAAUACCGCAUACUGUAGGAGGUGAUUUCGUCGCAUCAGCUAGUUGGUUGGGUAACGGCCCACCAAUGCGAUGAUCGGUAGCCUGUCUGGGAGAAAGAGCGGCAUCAUUGGGACUGAGACACGGCCCAGACUCCUACGGGAGUCAGCAGUGGGGAAUCUUCCGCAAUGGACGAAAGUCUGACGGAGCAACGCAGCGUGAGUGAUGACGGCCUUCGGGUGGUAUCGCUCUGUUAAUCGGGACGCGGUACCGGAAUAGAAAGCCACGGCUAACUACGUGCCAGCAGCCGCGGUAAUUC
rnacentral:rRNA from 1 species